rnacentral:lncRNA from 1 species
CAGUACAAAACAAAACAAAAACAAAAACAUGAAAUCGAGGGUUUGCUUAUGUGUCAUUACAGGAGGGACUGGUAUGGCUGCCAGCACAGUUAGUGAAACCCUACCAUGGCCUUCUGAGAAAAAAACCCAACCCCACAAAUACAGGACCUCUACUUGGAAGAAAGAAAGGACCAAUCUCCAUUCCUGUUGCCUGGAACAUCCUUUGGAGGUGACCUGGGGAAACCUCAAGAAGAUGACUCAGAAAAGAAGUACAUCUGGAGGCUGGGGAUAUAGCUCAGUGGCACAACGCUUGCCUGGCAAGUGCAAGGUCAUGAGUUUGAUUCCUGCUACAAGAAAAAAAAAAAAAAAGAAGAAGAAGAAGUACAUCCGAAUCGUGUGAAAGUACUAAUUUAAUCCAGAUAGUAUGGGUAUUGAAUCUUUAAC